GGCUGCCUGGCGAAAUGGCAUCGCGUCUGACUACGAUGCCCCGUAAUCAGGAGAUUGCAGGUUCGACCCCUGCGGCGGUCA